UUAAAUGGAAUUGGGAAGUUUUCUCAAUCUCUCUGGUGUUCGUUCUCCCAAUCUCUCGGUGUUCGUUCUCCUCAAUCUCUCGGUGGUUGUUCUCCUCAAUCGCGCCAUCACCAGCAUUGUUCCCGUAGCUUCCUUACCUUGAUUUGGUAUUCUAAUUUAGCUAGUGAAGAUUAGAGAGAGAAGAUGUCAUUUAUGGAAUUCAGGGGUGAUGACGAAGACGAAGAACUUUCUUCCGCUUCAUGGAGAGGGGAAGAAGAGGUCACCAGCUAGCAAGUUUGGAAAAUCUCAUCACAUGAUUCCGAUGAUUUGCUUAGAUCCCGAACUCCGUUAUAGUUUCCAGCGUAACUUCUAGGGAAAACAUAUGGCAAACAGAGCUGUUUUCAAUCCAACAUUCUCCCUAAAUCUAUGGAUUGGGCUGGCUUAUGUUCUCUGCAGCGG